rnacentral:lncRNA from 1 species
UCGGGAUUCCUUCGCUCCCUUGUGGUCAAGAUCCAAAGGAUAAUUUGCAGUGUUCUGAGUAUCUAGAUAGAUGAUGAUGUGGUAGGGGCCCUGAGCACAAUUAUCGUCGAUCCUGAUAACUACCGGGGUGUGCUGUUAGGACAUUCUUCAGGCAAGAGGUCAACAUGAACGUAGCAAAGUCAGGCAUGAAAAACAAUGACGAUGGAAGUAAAGUGCAUCCUCCAGCCAGUCCAGAAGGAGCUUUACAACAACUUCACAGAGAGUACUUGACUGAGAAACCGAGAUGUCCCAGAAAAUAAGACCAACCUGCUCGCCUUUAAAGACACCAUUUUGCACAAUUUCACAAAAAUCUAAGUUCCCAGGCACGGACCUACACCACUCAUCUGCGGUCAUGCUGUGGAGGCAACCCACAUACAAGAUAGAGGAAGAUUGGUGCAGACCAAUCUUCCUCAAGCAAGAAGAGGAAGAUUGGCAACAGAUGUUAGCUCCAGAUAACACAGAAGUUUUAUUACUACAUCAGAGUUGUGCACGCUGAGCGCCAGUGAACUGCAGAAGGUUUAUGGAACAGCUGUCUGAUUCCUGCCCCACAGUGCAACAGGUGAAGCAUCAACAGAGAGAGAAGAUGAGAAGACGUUGGAAGUGUGGGAAGAAUGCUGAAGGUGUGAAAGAGUCUCUUAUGAAACCAGGAGAAGAAAGUGGCGAGGAGGCUGCAGCCUGCCAGGAAGGAUAAGUACCGCACAAUGAUACCAGGGGCAGAGAGCUCAGGUCAUGCUGAUCCACCACAGCGACACAGAAAGCUGAGAAGCAGAUGGAAAUUCAAAGAAGAUGCCACCAAACUGAAAGCCAAUUACACAGCUCCACUGCCACAUGUCUGGAUGCAAGACUUAACAACAAAUUUGGCCAAGUGAUUGUAUAAAAUAUCAUGUGUAUGCAAAAUUUCUUAAAAAUAAAAAAAUGUAUAUUAUUCAUUCAGUAUUUUUCUCCAAUUGGACAAAAAGCUUAAAUUUGGGCAACUGCUUCAAUGAGAUUGCAUAAUUACCAAUGUUUGAAUCUUCAAAGGCAAAUGUGCAGAGUAGAUACGUUUUACUGUAGUUGGUUACAAUUCCGAAGAAGAGAACAUUCCAUCGCUUAGUGG